rnacentral:lncRNA from 1 species
CAAAGCUGCCUCGAUAUGCACCAAUCACGUAUAUUCUCAAGCCAUCUAUAGUGUUUUGCAGCCAUAUGAAUGCCGAAACAAAUCAGGUCAAUAAACAGAAUGAAAUGACACAACAUAAACAAACUUUCGGCAAGAAAAUUUUCAAAAUUUGUCACAACUUUUUUUCUUAAAAGAGAAAAAGAUGAUGUACCCAAUUACACAAAGGCUCUGGGACCAUAUCCUAAACUAUUGAAGAAGUCAAAAUUAAUAAUAAUAAACAUCUGCUUGGGGAAACACACUAGUCUAUUUGGAAUUGUUGUUCGACAAGUUGAGAAAAGGACCACUUUAAAUAUGUCAAUUAGAAGAAACUAUUAUUAGAGACCUGCAAUUGAUUCAACUCGAUUCAAUUCCCCAUCCCGGCAAUUUGAACGGGUUAAUCACAAAUAUACCUAAAUCAUAACUGAAUCAAGAGAAUCAAUAGUAAAUCCUGUGAGUAAUGCAGUGACCCCGCUAAAGUUGUGCCCCGAUAUGCACCAAUCACGUUAUAUUCUCAAGCCAUCUGUAGUGUUUUACGGCCAUAUGAAUGCUGAUACAAUCAGGUCAGUAAUCAGAAUGAAAUGACACAAUGCAAACAAACUAUUGGCAAGGAAAUUUCCCAGAUUUGCCACAACCUUUUUCUUCUUAAAAGUAAAAAAGAUAAUCUACUCAAUUAUACAAAGGCUCUGAGCCCAUAUAUCCUAAACUAUUGGGGAACUCAAGACUAGUCAAUAGUUUAAUGAACAUCAGCUAGGAGCACACCAGUCUAUUUGGCAUUGUUGGACAAGUUGAGAAAAGCACCACUUUUAAGUCAAUUAGAAGCACUGCUAUUAGAAUCCUAUGAUCAAUUCAACUCAAUUCAUUCACCGUCUAGCAAUUUGAAUCUAUAGGCUGAACCGCAAGUACACCAGAGUCAUAACGGAAUCAAAAGAAUCAAUACGAAUCAACCAAUUACGUCUAUUACUUUUCUAGAGAGCCCAUAUAGCUUCAACGUUUAAGAUUUUACUUCAUUUUUACUAUGGAAAAUGUGCAUAAAAUCUUCCAUUAGCUAUUUUUCUUCCAUAAGACAUUCUUUUUCCUCUCCCUACUCUUUCUUUUUUUUCUGUUAUUUUUUUUUUUAGUAAAUUUACUUCUCUAAUUAAUAGUUGUCAAAUUAAUACAUUUUAAUAUUUUAUAUUAAUAUAUUUUGACAUUUUAAUUUAACCAACCAUCCUUUUUUUUUAUUAUUGAAUCAAAUUUAAAUGUGUAUUUCAACAUAUGCACAAAUAUAACCAUCGUCUAUCAUUCAGGAGGCCAUCAGUUAUAACCAUGGUUUUAAAUCGCAGUCGAGGCCACGUUCGCAGUCGAGGGAAGGCAUUCAGUUAAUCAAGUAACAGGCUGUGAGGACAGCUUCCCCCCAAAAUCGCAGCAGAACAUUGUGAUAUAGGAGUAAAGUAUGGGCUAUUUCAAUUAAAUGCUGAUUUUUUCGCUCGGCAACCCCAUUUUGUUGUGAGGUAUAAGAGCAAGAAGUUUGGUGAGUAAUACCCUGAGUAGACAAGAAAUGAGUGAAUGAGAAAGACAAAUAUUCUCUUGCAUUAUCACUUCACAGUACCUUAAUGCGAACACCAAAUUGAUUAUGGAUUUUAGCAUAAAACUUUUGAAAAAUAGAGAACAACUCAUAACGAUUCUUCAUCAGAAAAAGCCAAAUGCAACGAGAAUAGUCAUCAAUAAAGAUAACAAAAUAUUAAAAUCUCAGAGUUGUACUAACUCGACUUUGACCCCAAAUAUCUGAAUGAACGAUGUCAAACAUAGAAGUGGCUCUAUUAUUGAUUCGUUUGGGAAAAGAAGCUCGAGUUUGCUUCCCGAGUUGACAAAAUUCACAUUCUAAAGAAGGCAAGAACGAGAGGCUAGCAACCAGUUUUUGUAACUUGUUCAGACUUGGAAUUCAGCGGAGGUGAAAGACACAAAAGCAAUUAGAGAGUUAUUCUUGUAACUCAUAUACUGCUCCAAUCAUCUUCCCAGUAUUCCGGUCCUACACAACCACAGAUUCAGCAGUAAAGAGUAGAGAAAAGAGAGGAAUAGCCAGCGCCAGGUGAUGCUGGAGGAAGAGUCACCAGCAUGAAAUGAUCGCCGGAGGAUGGUGCACGCAAUCAUAUCCCAAUUAUAGCUUAAUCAUAUCACAAUCAUAUCACACAAUCAUAUCCCCAAUUAUUACUACAAAUCUAGGCUAUUUACAGAAAUAAUCUCAACACAAGACAUCUUAUAUGUUUCUCAUAUUCAAAUUGACAUGUUGUAGUCAUCCACAAAUCCUACUCUAGAAAUAGAAAUACUCGCAUUAAUAGCAUGCUUGAUCCCAGCAUUGAAUAGGCUGGUGAAUAAGAAUAUUUGUCCAUCUAUUAUGGAAAUUACAUUAGUAGGAAUAUAAGAUGAAAAUCUCCUAAUUGGGUCUCGACUAUUGGUAAAGCAGUCAUAUUUAAACUAAAUAAAAACUUAAUUUAGCAGCUCUUCUCAAAAGGCAUAAAUGCAAACAAAAAUAUCUACCAUACAAGCUUCAUGAUCGGGUGGUAAUAGCAGUAGAAGAGACAUUUGACAAUAAACCUGCACCUGGGUAAAUCAACACUUCCUUCUGUUGUGGAGUAGGUAUCAGGGAUCAUCUUCUCUUCUUCUCCUUCAAAUCAAAAUCCUCCUAACACAAAAAGGACUUGUUUGGAGAGAUCGACCACUCCAAAACAUCUAAAAUAUUUUUCCAAAAACAUUUGAAAAGGGGCUUUCAAAAAGUUUGUUUCGACCUCAAUCACAAAUAGGUUUACCAAUCCACCAACAAACAAGCACAUGUAAGAUAGCAGUGCUAAGUGAAUACAUUUCUUCACUCUGUUAAGAAAUAUAGACUAGCUGUCUAGAAUAUUCUUCUUUCACUGAUCAAACUAGCAUCUCACAAUCCUAAGGAGCACACCCAUUCCUGAAGUUUCUAAUAUUUGGUUGGACUCAAGAAAGAUCUAGGUGUUAGGCAAUUGUUUAAAGUAUAAGCAACACACACCAAAAAAUACUAUAAAGCGCAUAGGGGAACAAUUGGGUCGACCUUAGUCUAGGUGUAGUAUAAUUGUACUAGUACUAUUUAAUGGAGUACACCGUGGAGUUUAAUGUGCGCAAGCAAUUUUUAAUGUUUGAGGGCUUAAUGAGCUUCGUACCUAGAGUUUUCUAAGGAUGCACAAUAAUUAGGUAGGUAUGCAGCACAUAUAAGGUGCCAGUGAAUUAUCAUUCCGUCACAUUUGCAAUGUGAUCCUUAGUAGUGCUCAAUCUAGCUCAUAGGCAACAUCAAUACUCAAAAAUUUCAUGCAUAAGGUAUCUUUCGGUGACAAACUAUUACUCAAUUCCAGAGAAUAAAAUAAAUUAUUGCACCAUGCAACUCAUUGAGCUCAUGCAUCCAAUUUCAUUUUAUAAGUAAUAUGUAGAUAGAUGAAAUAAGAGAACCUUUUCCACUCGGCCAAAUAUUGCUUUGGAAAGAAUUCAAGCUUUGGAUUUUCACCAUCAAUUGCUGCAUCAAGAGCUUGCUUUGCCAUACUACUGCAAUUAACAUACCACUGUGGCUUUAUCAUUGGCUCCACAACAUCAUUGGUUC